CAGCCGCCACGGUAAUACGAAGGGGGCUAGCGUUGCUCGGAAUUACUGGGCGUAAAGGGCGCGUAGGCGGAUACUUAAGUUGGGGGUGAAAGCCCGGGGCUCAACCUCGGAAUUGCCUUCAAUACUGGGUAUCUUGAGUUCGGGAGAGGUGAGUGGAAUGCCGAGUGUAGAGGUGAAAUUCGUAGAUAUUCGGCGGAACACCAGUGGCGAAGGCGACUCACUGGCCCGAUACUGACGCUGAGGCGCGAAAGCGUGGGGAGCAAACAGGAUUAGAUACCCCCGUAGUCCCUGUCUCUUAUAA
rnacentral:rRNA from 1 species